AUUCGUGUUUACUGUUAAAACCUGUUUUCUUCUAUUGAUAACUAGUGGCUCUUGGAUUGGUGGAGGUUUCGUAUCGGAAGUAGUUUAUUUAGGCCUAUGCAAAUGAGGAGUUGGGGUUGUAGAUAUUUACGUUCAACGGGAGCCGCCCUUCAUUCACCACAUGGUUAACAGCGAGUAGCUUGGCGCCACUUUCGCAAAUUUAUGUUGUUUUAUCAAGUUUAUAUGCUUUUAAAUGAUACAAGUAAAGGCGAACAAGGUUACUUAACGUAGCUAUAACAUAAGGAAGUUUGUGCGUUAGUUUGGUAGAUAUGCCUGGAGCAGUGACAGUAAACGACUUUGUCCAGUGUUCGCCAGGGAUUGCACCCGUCACCGCCGCUGAUGGGGGAUUCUUUUCAGUUCUACUUGGAUACAGCGCUGAAGGAUGCUCCCAGGACUGGUACUGUCCCUGUAGUGUCAAAGUGCUUACAGUGCAGGUAGUACUAAGUGAUACCUACUGCAGUGGAGGCACUUCAAGCACUACACUGACACUCAAACCAGCCAACACCAAUACAGCAGACUCUCAUCAUCUAUUAACUUCUGCUUAUGCUAAGGUGCAUCUAGUGCAGAUAGUGAAGUAGACUAGCACCUACUGCCCUAAGUGCUCCUUCUGGCAUAAGGAGCAGGGACUCGCAACUGGUGUGUUUGCCUUGCUUUUUAUGCAGUUCUCUGCUAGUUUUGCAUAGUUGCACUACAAGAAAAAAUGAGUUGUGCAAAUCUAUGCAAAACUGAUGGUGGCCUGCUUCCCCAUCUUUCCUAUGCUGUGUGCUUGGAUGAGGCUGCCUGUGCACAUCUUGCAACGCUUCUGUGUGUGUUUGUUUGUGUGAGACCCCCAGCCACUCUGUCCUUUACAUCAGGUUUCAGCAGUAUUAAAGUGCUUAUAGUGCAGGUAGUUACUUAUUCAUCUACUGCAGUGUGAGCACUUGAAGUACUUCUAGAUUGUGGGCAUCAGCAUGGACCCUGAAGCUACGAGACUUGCCACUGGACUCUGGUUAGUUUUGCUGGUUUGCAUUCCGCUGGUUUAACUGUUGAUGUGCAAAUCCAUGCAAAACUGAUCAUGGCAGUGAAUCGUCUGCCACCUCAGAUGGGUAAUCCCUUUCUGUGCAGGUUGGGAUUAGUAGCAAUGCUCUUGUACUUGUAAGGUAUUGCACUUGUCCCGGCCUGUUUAGGACUUGGGAAACUAUACUGCUGCCUCUUGUAUUGUGUAUGUAAAUUUGGCCAUAAUAUAGGUUCCCCCUGUUUUAAUGCUUUGAAUGUACAUGUUGUAUUAUUGAAUCUGCUUCUUACUUUUUGUACAACGUGACGAAUAAAAGUUGACAAACUUAUUGAAAUGAGCGUUUU
rnacentral:lncRNA from 1 species